AAGUUAACCAAACCUCCUAAGGACUGGCUACAGUGUCCUAACAGCAAAACUGAGCGAGAUAGAGGUCAGGCUGUGAUGACCAAGACACAUGGCUGAAACAGAAGUCGGGAAGUCUGUACCCGUGUUUCCAGAUGCCCUCAGCCCUUCUCCAAACCACACAGAGCAGCCAGUAGACCAGAUUAGAGACGAAAGGGAAAAUCCCGGAAGGCGCUCUGAUGUCUCUCCAGCAAAGAAGAAAACAGCGGGCAGAGUCGAGAGAAUAAGGAACCCAGGCAGAGGAGUCCUAGGCAAAGCUCCAGUGGCUCCUCCUACAGACUGCACCACAGCCGAGCAAGGGGCCACCUUGAAGAGAAGAGCAGGGCGAGCCAGAGAAAGAGGAAGGCAUGAGCCCCAGUCUACCCCAUCAAAACAACACUGGACAAGAG
rnacentral:lncRNA from 1 species